CACCGCGGUUAGACGAGAGGCCCUAGUUGAUAAAAUCACGGCGUAAAGAGUGGUUAAGGGAACAUAAAAAUAAAGCCGAAUGGCCCCCUGGCCGUCAUACGCUUCCAGGCGUCCGAAGCCCCUACUACACGAAAGUAGCUUUAAAAACUAACCUGACCCCACGAAAGCUGAGAAA
rnacentral:rRNA from 1 species